rnacentral:rRNA from 1 species
AGGCGCGAAAACUUUACAAUGCAGGAAACUGUGAUAAGGGAACCCCGAGUGCCCGUAUACGCGGGCUGUCCAGGUGUUUAAANNNCAUCUGAAGAAAGGGCCGGGCAAGACCGGUGCCAGCCGCCGCGGUAAUACCGGCGGCUCGAGUGGUGGCCACUUUUAUUGGGCUUAAAGCGUUCGUAGCUUGGUUGUUAAGUCUCUUGGGAAAUCUCACGGCUUAACCGUGAGGCGUCUAAGGGAUACUGGCAACCUAGGGACCGGAAGAGGUGAGAGGUACUCCAGGGGUAGGAGUGAAAUCCUGUAAUCCUUGGGGGACCACCUGUGGCGAAGGCGUCUCACCAGGACGGCNCCGACAGUGAGGGACGAAAGCUGGGGGAGCAAACCGGAUUAGAUACCCGGGUAGUCCCAGCCGUAAACGAUGCGCGUUAGGUGUAUCGGUGACCACGAGUCACNNA